rnacentral:lncRNA from 1 species
AUGUUGAGAUGAAUCAACGGAAGUGAUAAAAAGUCAUGCAAUAUGUAAGUCCCGUUUCUUUCUGUCUGCCCAUUUAAUUGAGGAUUUUCAAGAAUUUAAUUUACAAAGGAGGAAUAUCCAAUUUAAAAUGAAAUCAUCACCAUUGGUAAAUAAGAACAAGAAGAAACAGAACAAACAAAUGAUCUAAGAUGACGAGUGUAUCUCACUAAUCACUACACAACCAUACUUACGCAUUCUUCGUCUUUAUUUCGUUGCAUCUAGCUAUCACAUUGUUUCUUUUGCAGUUUCAGACACAGAUACAC